UACGUAGGGUGCGAGCGUUAAUCGGAAUUACUGGGCGUAAAGCGUGCGCAGGCGGUAAUGUAAGACAGGUGUGAAAUCCCGGGGGCUUAACCUCGGAACUGCAUUUGUGACUGCAUUGCUGGAGUGCGGCAGAGGGGGGAUGGAAUUCCGCGUGUAGCAGUGAAAUGCGUAGAGUAUGCGGAGGAACACCGAUGGCGAAGGCAA
rnacentral:rRNA from 1 species